rnacentral:rRNA from 1 species
AAUCCUGGCUCAGGAUGAACGCUGGCGGCGUGCUUAACACAUGCAAGUCGAGCGAAGCAAUUUAAGUGAAGUUUUCGGAUGGAUCUUAGAUUGACUGAGCGGCGGACGGGUGAGUAACGCGUGGAUAACCUGCCUCACACAGGGGGAUAACAGUUAGAAAUGACUGCUAAUACCGCAUAAGCGCAUAGUACCGCAUGGUAUAGUGUGAAAAACUCCGGUGGUGUGAGAUGGAUCCG